rnacentral:rRNA from 1 species
AUUGAACGCUGGCGGCAGGCCUAACACAUGCAAGUCGAGCGGAUGAAUCGGGCUUGCUCCUGGAUUCAGCGGCGGACGGGUGAGUCGUGCCUAUGAAUCUGCCAUGUAGUGGGGGAAAACGUCCUGAUACGGGCUCUGAUACUGCGGAGGUCGAUAUGGAGAAAUUGGGGGAGCUUCGGACCUCUUGGUAUGAGAUGAGCCUAGGUCGGAUUAGCGAGUUGGUGGGGUAAAGGCCUUCCAAGGCGACGAUCCGUAACUGGCCCGAGAGGAUGAUCAGUCACACUGGAUCUGAGACACGGUCCAGACUCCUACGGGAGGCCGCAGUCGGGAAUACUGGACGAGGCGCGAGAGCCUAAUCCAGCCAUGCCGCGUGUGUGAAGACGGUCCUAGGCUUGGAGAGCACUUUAAGUUGGGGGGAAGGGCAGUAAGUUAAUACCUUGCUGUUUUGACGUUACCAACAGAAUAAGCCCCGGCUAACUUCGUG